UGAAGAAUCCCAGAACGUAAUAAAGGGGAGGAAGCCACGAGCUUUUUUAUUCACAAAAAGAGAGAGGAGGCAGAAGUGACUUCAGAGUGCACAUGGAGAGGACAGAGACAAGGACCCAGGACGUACAACUGGACGACAGUCAGCUGACAAAGAUGUCCUUGGACUAUGAUCCUCUGGAUCAGUUGUGAAAAGCCUUUGAUAACACUCUCCAAAUCUCUACAUUUGUAAGGCACUGGAAUUCCUUUGUGAAAGGAGUUAUAUUUUGAAUAAAG
rnacentral:lncRNA from 1 species